CAGUAGCCGCGGUAAUACGAAGGGUGCAAGCGUUAAUCGGAAUUACUGGGCGUAAAGCGUGCGUAGGCGGUGAGUUAAGUCUGCUGUGAAAUCCCCGGGCUCGACCUGGGAAUGGCAGUGGAUACUGGCUCGCUAGAGUGUGUCAGAGGAUGGUGGAAUUCCCGGUGUAGCGGUGAAAUGCGUAGAGAUCGGGAGGAACAUCAGUGGCGAAGGCGGCCAUCUGGGACAACACUGACGCUGAGGCACGAAAGCGUGGGGAGCAAACAGGAUUAGAUACCCCAGUAGUCCCUGUCUCUUAUAC
rnacentral:rRNA from 1 species